rnacentral:tRNA from 1 species
GAGGUGUAUUAACAUAUAGAUCUGCUAAAUCUUGCAACUGAAGCUAAAAACUUCAGACCUCUUA